rnacentral:ncRNA from 1 species
AUCAAGGGAGUAGCAGACGUUUGUCCUUCUACGUUUUGAAGGCAAUCGUGUCACUGUCGUCAUUACGAAAGAAAUUUCCGGCACUGACUUAAACAGCGAGACUUGUUUUUUUAGAAAACAGGUCUCUUUUU